rnacentral:rRNA from 1 species
GAUGAACGCUGGCGGCGUGCCUAAUACAUGCAAGUCGAGCGAACAGACGAGGAGCUUGCUCCUCUGAUGUUAGCGGCGGACGGGUGAGUAACACGUGGAUAACCUACCUAUAAGACUGGGAUAACUUCGGGAAACCGGAGCUAAUACCGGAUAAUAUAUUGAACCGCAUGGUUCAAUAGUGAAAGACGGUUUUGCUGUCACUUAUAGAUGGAUCCGCGCCGCAUUAGCUAGUUGGUAAGGUAACGGCUUACCAAGGCAACGAUGCGUAGCCGACCUGAGAGGUGGAUCGGCCACACUGGAACUGAGACACGGUCCAGACUCCUACGGGAGGCAGCAGUAGGGAAUCUUCCGCAAUGGGCGAAAGCCUGACGGAGCAACGCCGCGUGAGUGAUGAAGGUCUUCGGAUCGUAAAACUCUGUUAUUAGGGAAGAACAAAUGUGUAAGUAACUAUGCACGUCUUGACGGUACCUAAUCAGAAAGCCACGGCUAACUACGUG